rnacentral:rRNA from 1 species
AUUGAACGCUGGCGGAAUGCUUUACACAUGCAAGUCGAGCGGCAGCGCGGGGGCAACCCUGGCGGCGAGCGGCGAACGGGUGAGUAACACAUCGGAACGUACCCAGUUGUGGGGGAUAGCCCGGCGAAAGCCGGAUUAAUACCGCAUACGACCUGAGGGUGAAAGGGGGGGAUCGCAAGACCUCUCGCAGUUGGAGCGGCCGAUGGCGGAUUAGCUAGUUGGUGAGGUAAAGGCUCACCAAGGCGACGAUCCGUAGCUGGUCUGAGAGGACGACCAGCCACACUGGAACUGAGACACGGUCGAGACUCCUACGGGAGGCAGCAGUGGGGAAUUUUGGACAAUGGGGGCAACCCUGAUCCAGCCAUUCCGCGUGGGUGAAGAAGGCCUUCGGGUUGUAAAGCUCUUUCGGCAGGAACGAAACGGUGUGGGCUAAUAUCCCAUAUCAAUGACGGUACCUGAAGAAGAAGCACCGGCUAACUACGUGCCAGCCGCCGCCGUAAAAC